UCCCGAGUAGCUCAGUGGUAGAGCAGUUGGCUGUUAACCAAUUGGUCACUGGUUCGAGUCCAGUCUCGGGAGCCA
rnacentral:tRNA from 3 species